rnacentral:rRNA from 1 species
AUUCAGUGAAUCAUUGAAUCUUUGACGCACCUUGCACCUUUUGGUAUUCCAAAAGGUACACCUGUUUGAGUGUCAUG